UGAGGAAUGAUAGGGAAAAUCUCUAUUGGCACAGAGCUUAAACAUAUAUGCUUCUCGUUUGCCAAAGGAGAUUUGCCCUGCCAUUUUUAA
rnacentral:pre_miRNA from 1 species